GACGAACGCUGGCGGCGUGCCUAAUACAUGCAAGUAGAACGCUGAAGCUUGGUGCUUGCGCCGAGCGGGUGAGUUGCGAACGGGUGAGUAACGCGUAGGUAACCUGCCUGGUAGCGGGGGAUGACUAUUGGAAACGAUAGCUAAUACCGCAUAAGAGUAGAUGUUGCAUGACAUUUGCUUAAAAGGUGCAAUUGCAUCACUAACAGAUGGACCUGCGGUGUAUUAGCUAGUUGGUGAGGUAACGGCUCACCAAGGCAACGAUACAUAGCCGACCUGAGAGGGUGAUCGGCCACACUGGGACGGAGACACGGCCCAGACUCCUACGGGAGGCAGCAGGAGGGAAACUUCGGCAAGGGACGGAAGUCUGACCGAGAAACGCCGCCUGAGGGAAGAAGGGUUUCGGAUCGGAAAGCUCUGUUGUAAGAGAAGAACGAGUGUGAGAGUGUAAAGUUCACACUGUGACGGUAUCUUACCAGAAAGGGACGGCUAACUACGUG
rnacentral:rRNA from 1 species